GCUCGCAUGGCUUAGUUGGCAAAGCGCAUCACUAGUAAUGAUGAGAUCCUCGGUUCAAAUCCGAGUGUGAGCA